AAAGAAUAGCUCAAUCUGCUCCCAGGCAGGGGGUGAGAGUGGGUGCAGAGCCUAUGCUCAACAAACCAAGACAAGUGGGGGUGGAUUCUGGAGUGGCCAGUUAAGCUGUGCACACGGUGGACCCUAUCAGGUAUCUGCUGUCAUCUUGCCCAGCUUGGAGCUAAGAGCUCUGUGUGUGUUUGUAUGAGCAGUGAACAGUAUGGAACAUGUAGAAGGAGUGGACAGGAAGGACCAGAGAGGUGUUUGUGGAAUGGAGCCCUGCGCAGGAGUGUGAGGAAGCCAACCGCCAGGCCACUGCUAUCCAGGACUCCACUGCCUGGGAUCAGCCUUCUCUACACACAUGGAGCCCCUGGGGAUAGGUCUCACCUUGCUGGCAGGCCCAGUUCCCAUGGGUAGAAACAAGAAACGGGGAGCUCAGCCCAAUGGCAUCCCGGCGCAGACUUCACAUUCCCCGGUGGCCCUCAAGACCGUCCAGGACCCUGGCAUAUGAACACUGGGUCAGCUGAGCCAGGACCUCCUCAGAGACUGGGAAGGCUAGAAGGCUGUCAGAGUUGACUGACUAUGGAAGGCUCGGCUCUCAUCGCAUCCCAACUAGACCCACAAUGUCCCUGCUCACUCAGCCCCAACACAAUAAAUGCCUGUGACA
rnacentral:lncRNA from 1 species